GGGAAGUUCAACUUGACUUAUGCACCUGGAGAAGGCAGUUCCCCAAAUGGAUCACAGACUUAAAGGACCACUCUAGGCAUCCAGACCACUUCAGCUUAAUCCUCUAAAUCCUCUAGUGGCUGUCUCAUUGACAGCCGCUAGAGGAGCUUGCGUGAUUCUCACUGUGAAAAUCACAGUGAGAACACGCAAGCGUCCAUAGGAAAGCAUUACGAAUUCCUAUGAAACCGGCUGAAUGCGCGCGCAGCUCUUGCCGCGCGUGCGCAUUCAGCCGAAAGGGAGGAGAGGAGGCGGAGAGCACCCUCAGGGCACUAUAGUGCCAGGAAAACAAGUAUGUUUUCCUGGCACUAUAGUGGUCCUUUAAAUGGGUGAAAAUUAACGCUGUUAUACCACUUUUUAAUAAAUUCACAUUAGGCUUGCUAAUGCCUUUUUCUCAACACUUUCCGCAAUCCUUGCUUUUUUAAGUGGGCGUGGCGUGGGUCACUAAAUUAGAAACAGUGCAACAUUUUAAUUAGAGGUCAAACUGAACAGUCAGUUAUGUUGAAAUGUGAUAUAAUGGUAAUAUUUUUUUAUUAUCGUCACUUACAUACUUGUAUUGAUAUAUUGUCACACCGUCUUUAUGUUGGUUUAUUGUUUAACCCAACUACAUUGUUAUAAACUAGAAAAUAAAGUGCACUAUGUCUUAAAGACAAUAAAUAAAUACCUUACAAUGAAAGUGUAAUUUACAUAAAACAAUUAGUGCAAUAAUAUGUUAUACCCAAAGUGAAGUGGGUCCACAAAUUGAAAACUCUAGCGCGACAUGGUCUUAAUAUAGAAAUGGAUGUUCCUGUACCGCGGACCGGAGCGGAGCUUGACCACGCUACACUGAGUGACUGACAGGAGGGAGCACUUAUCCCUCUUUCAUGCGUGCCCGGGCCGGUGUGCCCUCAUGGACACGCCAGUCCGGGCAGUGCUGCAGCCGCCUGAGACUCUCUAUAGAGCGCUUAGGCGGCUGCAGCAUUUGAGGGGUCAGCGCUCCAGCCCUGUAUACACAUAGUGUGUUUUUUGCACUGGCACACAUUGGCACUUUGGGUAUAACGC